UACGGAGGGUGCAAGCGUUAAUCGGAAUUACUGGGCGUAAAGGGUGCGUAGGUGGCGCUAUAAGCUAGCUGUGAAAUACCUGGGCUUAACCUGGGGGUGUCAGCUAUGACUGUAGUGCUUGAGUAUGGGAGAGGGUAGUGGAAUUUCCGGUGUAGCGGUGAAAUGCGUAGAUAUCGGAAGGAACACCGGUGGCGAAGGCGGCUACCUGGCCUAAUACUGACACUGAGGCACGAAAGCGUGGGUAGCGAACAGG
rnacentral:rRNA from 1 species